GUGCUCACUUUGGCAGCACAUGUACUAAAGCUGGAACCAGACAGAGAAGAUUAGCACGGUCCCUGCACAAGGAUCACAUGCAAAUUUGUGAAGCGUUCCAUAUACAA
ensembl:snRNA U6 U6 spliceosomal RNA